rnacentral:rRNA from 1 species
ACUCCUACGGGAGGCAGCAGUGGGGAAUAUUGCACAAUGGGCGCAAGCCUGAUGCAGCCAUGCCGCGUGUGUGAAGAAGGCCUUCGGGUUGUAAAGCACUUUCAGUCGUGAGGAAGGUAGUGUAGUUAAUAGCUGCAGUAUUUGUACGUUAGCGACAGAAGAAGCACCGGCUAACUCCGUGCCAGCAGCCGCGGUAAUACGGAGGGUGCGAGCGUUAAUCGGAAUUACUGGGCGUAAAGCGCAUGCAGGUGGUUUGUUAAGUCAGAUGUGAAACGCCCGGGGCUCAACCUCGGAAUAGCAUUUGAAACUGGCAGACUAGAGUACUGGUAGAGGGGGGUUAGAAUUUCAGGUGUAGCGGUGAAAUGCGUAGAGAUCUGAAGG